GUCCAGCUGACGAGUCUCAAAUAGGACGAAACGCGCGUCCUGGGU
rnacentral:hammerhead_ribozyme from 1 species